AUACGUAGGUGGCAAGCGUUGUCCGGAUUUACUGGGUGUAAAGGGCGUGUAGGCGGAGAUGCAAGUCAGGAGUGAAAUCUAGGGGAUCAACCCCUAAACUGCUUUUGAAACUGUAUCCCUUGAGUAUCGGAGAGGCAGGCGGAAUUCCUUGAGGAGUGGUGAAUUGAGUAGAUAUGAGGAGGAACACCAGUGUCGAAGGCGGCCUGCAAUACGACAACUGACGCUUAUGCGCGAAAGCGUGGGUAGCAAACAGGAGUAGAUACCCUGGUAGUCCACGCUGUAAACGAUGAAUACUAGGUGUGGGGGGACUUACCCCCUCCGUGCCGCAGUUAACACAAUAUGUAUUCCACCUGGGGAGUACGAUCGCAAGAUUGAAACUUAAAUGAAUUUACGGGG
rnacentral:rRNA from 1 species